GACGAACGCUGGCGGCGUGCCUAAUACAUGCAAGUCGAACGCUUCUUUUUCCACCGGAGCUUGCUCCACCGGAAAAAGAGGAGUGGCGAACGGGUGAGUAACACGUGGGUAACCUGCCUUCAAGAGGGGGAUAACAUUCUGAAAAGGAUGCUAAUACCGCAUGACAUAUCGGAACCACAUGGUUUUGAUGUCAAAGAUUUUAUCGCUUGAAGAUGGACUCGCGUCCGAUUAGUUAGUUGGUGAGGUAACGGCUCACCAAGACCGCGAUCGGUAGCCGGACUGAGAGGUUGAACGGCCACAUUGGGACUGAGACACGGCCCAGACUCCUACGGGAGGCAGCAGUGGGGGAUAUUGCGCAAUGGGGGCAACCCUGACGCAGCAACGCCGCGUGAAGGAUGAAGGUUUUCGGAUUGUAAACUUCUUUUAUUAAGGACGAAAAAUGACGGUACUUAAUGAAUAAGCUCCGGCUAACUACGUGCCAGCAGCCGCGGUAAUACGUAGGGAGCAAGCGUUGUCCGGAUUUACUGGGUGUAAAGGGUGCGUAGGCGGCUUUGCAAGUCAGAUGUGAAAUCUAUGGGCUCAACCCAUAAACUGCAUUUGAAACUGUAGAGCUUGAGUGAAGUAGAGGCAGGCGGAAUUCCCCGUGUAGCGGUGAAAUGCGUAGAGAUGGGGAGGAACACCAGUGGCGAAGGCGGCCUGCUGGGCUUUAACUGACGCUGAGGCACGAAAGCGUGGGUAGCAAACAGGAUUAGAGAC
rnacentral:rRNA from 1 species